rnacentral:rRNA from 1 species
UCGUAGAGACCUGCGGAGGAUCAUUACCGAAUUGUCACGAGUUGUUGCUGGUCCUCAAACGGGGGCAUGUGCACGCUCUGUUUGCACAUCCACUCACACCUGUGCACCCUCCGUAGUUCUCCAGCCUGGGGGGUUCUGUCCCCCCUUGCUGUGGUUCUAUGUAUUUACACACACACACGCUGUAAUAAAGUCUCAUGGAAUGUAUGCCGCGUUUAACGCAAUACAAUACAACUUUCAGCAACGGAUCUCUUGGCUCUCGCAUCGAUGAAGAACGCAGCGAAAUGCGAUAAGUAAUGUGAAUUGCAGAAUUCAGUGAAUCAUCGAAUCUUUGAACGCACCUUGCGCCCUUUGGACCAUUCUGAAGGGCAUGCCUGUUUGGGUAUCAUGAACACCUCAACUCUCAUGGCUUUGCCCAUGAUGAGCUUGGACUUUGGGGGUUUUGCUGGCCUGCAGGUCGGCUCCUCCCAAAUGAAUCAGCUUGCCAGUGUUUGGUGGCAUCACGGGUGUGAUAACUAUCUACGCUUGUGGUUUUCCACCAGAUAACCUUCAGUGAUGGAGGUUCGCUGGGGCUCAUAAAUGUCUCUCCUCGGCGAGGACAGCUCUUUGAACGUUUGAUCUCAAAUCAGGUAGGACUACCCGCUGAACUUAAGCAUAUCA